rnacentral:rRNA from 1 species
AGGCAGCAUGGGGAAGUAUUGCACAAUGGGGGAAACCCGUACGAUGCAGCCAUGCCGCGUGUGUGAAGAAGGCCUUCGGGUUGUAAAGCACUUUCAGUAGGGAGGAAGGUAGUGUAGUUAACACCUGCAUUAUUUGACGUUACCUACAGAAGAAGCACCGGCUAACUCCGUGCCAGCAGCCGCGGUAAUACGGAGGGUGCGAGCGUUAAUCGGAAUUACUGGGCGUAAAGCGCAUGCAGGCGGCCUGUUAAGUCAGAUGUGAAAGCCCGGGGCUUAACCUCGGAAUUGCAUUUGAAACUGGCAGGCUAGAGUCUUGUAGAGGGGGGUAGGAAUUUCAGGUGUAGCGGUGAAAUGCGUAGAGAUCUGAAGGAAUACCAGUGGCGAAGGCGGCCCCCUGGACAAAGACUGACGCUCAGAUGCGAAAGCGUGGGGAGCAAACAGGAUUAGAUACCCUGGUAG